UACGAAGGGGGCUAGCGUUGUUCGGAAUCACUGGGCGUAAAGGGCGCGUAGGCGGCGCGACAAGUCAGGCGUGAAAGCCCCGGGCUCAACCCGGGAAUUGCGCUUGAUACUGUCGGGCUUGAGGCCGGGAGAGGAUGGCGGAAUUCCCAGUGUAGAGGUGAAAUUCGUAGAUAUUGGGAAGAACACCGGUGGCGAAGGCGGCCAUCUGGACCGGUUCUGACGCUGAGGCGCGAAAGCGUGGGGAGCAAACAGG
rnacentral:rRNA from 1 species